ACCAAGGGGGAGCGCCGGCUGCCGGGAGCACCGGGACUGCUUCUGGUUCUGUUCAGUGUUACUGCCAGGGUUGGUGGUUUGUCUUGUCACACAGACACCUAUCUUUCAAAUCAAGACACCCAGCUAAUGAGCAGGAACAGACCCAAAGAUGCAAACUCCUAACAGAGAUCCAAAAUUUACGCUCAUCUGUAUCCACUGAAGUAUCAUCUAUGCACACUGGACCUGUACAUGUGUGAGUAAAGUGUUUCUAACCAGA